AUACGGAGGACGCGAGCGUUAUCCGGAUUCAUUGGGUUUAAAGGGUGCGCAGGCGGCCGUGCAAGUCAGUGGUGAAAGCCCGGGGCUCAACCCCGGAAGUGCCGUUGAUACUGCAUGGCUGGAAUGCGGUCGAGGCGGGCGGGACGGGGGGUGGAGCGGUGGAAAGCGUAGAUAUGCCACAGAACGCCGAUAGCGGAGGCAGCUCGCCAGGCCUGCAUUGACGCUCGGGCACGAAAGCGUGGGGAUCGAACAGGAUUAGAUACCCUGGUAGUCCACGCCGUAAACGAUGGGCGCUCGUCGUCGGCGACAGACAGUCGGCGGCCAAGCGAAAGCGAUAAGCGCCCCACCUGGGGAGUACGGUCGCAAGGCUGAGACUCAAAGGAAUUGACGGGG
rnacentral:rRNA from 1 species